rnacentral:rRNA from 2 species
UCAAGCUACAAAGGGCGCAUGGUGAAUGCCUUGGCAUCAGGAGCCGAUGAAGGACGUGAUAAGCUGCGAUAAGCUUCGGGUAGGCGCACAUAGCCUGAGAUCCGAAGAUCUCCGAAUGAGGAAACUCACAUGGGAAACCCCAUGUAUCAUUAAGUGAAUACAUAGCUUAAUGAAGGUAACCCAGGGAACUGAAACAUCUAAGUACCUGGAGGAAGAGAAAGAAAAAUCGAUUUUCUUAGUAGCGGCGAGCGAAAGGGAAAGAGCCCAAACCGGAAACUUGUUUCCGGGGUUGUGGACAUAGCAUGAAAGUGGAGGCUAUUGUAACUGAAGAGAACUGGAAAGUUCCACCGUAGAAGGUAAUAGUCCUGUAAGUGAAACGAGAAGACCACGAGUUAUGAUCCAGAGUACCACGAGACACGUGAAACCUUGUGGGAAGCAGGGAGGACCACCUCCCAAGGCUAAAUACUACCUGAUGACCGAUAGUGAAGCAGUACCGUGAGGGAAAGGUGAAAAGAACCCCGGGAGGGGAGUGAAAUAGAACCUGAAACCGUGUGCCUACAACCGCUCAGAGCCCCUUAUGAGGGUGAUGAGGUGCUUUUUGUAGAACGAGCCAACGAGUUACGGUAUGUAGCAAGGUUAAGUACUUAAGGUACGGAGCCGAAGGGAAACCGAGUCUGAAUAGGGCGACUAGUUGCAUGCCGUAGACCCGAAACCGGGUGACCUAUCCAUGGCCAGGUUGAAGCGAGGGUAAAACCUCGUGGAGGACCGAACCACGUUGCUGUUGAAAAAGCAUGGGAUGAGCUGUGGAUAGCGGAGAAAUUCCAAUCGAACCCGGAGAUAGCUGGUUCUCUCCGAAAUAGCUUUAGGGCUAGCGUCGAGUAUGAGUAGUGGAGGUAGAGCACUGAAUGGGCUAGGGGGCAUAGCGCUUACCGAACCUUAUCAAACUCCGAAUGCCACAUACUUUGAGCUCGGCAGUCAGACUACGAAUGAUAAGAUCCGUGGUCAAAAGGGAAACAGCCCAGAUCGUCAGCUAAGGUCCCAAAGUGUAAGUUAAGUGGGAAAGGAUGUGAGAUUUCUAAGACAACUAGGAUGUUGGCUUAGAAGCAGCCAUUCAUUAAAAGAGUGCGUAAUAGCUCACUAGUCGAGAGAUCUUGCGCCGAAAAUGUAACGGGGCUAAACUUACCACCGAAGCUACGGGCUUGAACUUAGUUCAAGCGGUAGGAGAGCGUCGUAACCGGGCUGAAGUCGUACCGUAAGGAGCGGUGGACUGGUUACGAGUGAGAAUGUUGGCAUCAGUAGCGAGAUGUGGGUGAGAAUCCCACAGGCCGAAAACCUAAGGUUUCCUCAGGAAGGUUCGUCCGCUGAGGGUUAGUCGGGACCUAAGCCGAGGCCGAAAGGCGUAGGUGAUGGACAACUGGUUGAUAUUCCAGUACCACUACCAUCGUUAUUAUCGAUGGCGUGACGCAGGAGGAUAGUGUGUGCUAGCUAUUGGAUGCUAGUCUAAGCGUUUAGGCAGUGAGAGUAGGCAAAUCCGCUCUCAUAAUGCUGAGGCGUGAUGGGGAAGGUUCUACGGAACCGAAGUACAUGAUUCCACGCUGCCAAGAAAAGCGUCUAGAGAGAGAAGUAGUGCCCGUACCGCAAACCGACACAGGUAGGUGAGGAGAGAAUCCUAAGGCCGGCGGAAGAAUUACAGUUAAGGAACUCGGCAAAUUGACCCCGUAAGUUCGCGAGAAGGGGUGCCUACGAGAGUAGGCCGCAGAGAAUAGGCCCAAGCAACUGUUUAGCAAAAACACAGGUCUCUGCUAAAGCGUAAGCUGAUGUAUAGGGGCUGACGCCUGCCCGGUGCUGGAAGGUUAAGGGGAACACUUAGCGCAAGCGAAGGUGUGAACUUAAGCCCCAGUAAACGGCGGCCGUAACUAUAACGGUCCUAAGGUAGCGAAAUUCCUUGUCAGGUAAGUUCUGACCCGCACGAAUGGCGUAAUGACUUGGGCACUGUCUCAACUGUAAAUCCGGCGAAGUUGUAGUGCGAGUGAAGAUGCUCGCUACCCGCGAUUGGACGGAAAGACCCCGUAGAGCUUUACUGUAGCUUAGCAUUGAGUUUUGGUAUUGUCUGUACAGGAUAGGUGGGAGACUAGGAAACCAGGGCGUCAGCCUUGGUGGAGUCAACCUUGGGAUACCACCCUGACAGUACUGAAAUUCUAACUGGCGGCCAUGAAUCUGGUCACAGGACAUUGUUAGGUGGGCAGUUUGACUGGGGCGGUCGCCUCCUAAAAAGUAACGGAGGCGCCCAAAGGUUCCCUCAGAACGGUCGGAAAUCGUUCGAAGAGUGCAAAGGCAGAAGGGAGCCUGACUGCGACACCCACAAGUGGAGCAGGGACGAAAGUCGGGCUUAGUGAUCCGGUGGUACCUCGUGGGAGGGCCAUCGCUCAACGGAUAAAAGCUACCUCGGGGAUAACAGGCUGAUCUCCCCCAAGAGUCCACAUCGACGGGGAGGUUUGGCACCUCGAUGUCGGCUCGUCGCAUCCUGGGGCUGAAGUAGGUCCCAAGGGUUGGGCUGUUCGCCCAUUAAAGCGGCACGCGAGCUGGGUUCAGAACGUCGUGAGACAGUUCGGUCCCUAUCCGUCGCGGGCGUAGGAAAUUUGAGAGGAGCUGUCCUUAGUACGAGAGGACCGGGAUGGACUGACCUCUGGUGUACCAGUUGUUCCGCCAGGAGCACAGCUGGGUAGCUAAGUCGGGAAUGGAUAAACGCUGAAAGCAUCUAAGCGUGAAGCCAACCUCAAGAUGAGAUUUCCCAUAGCGUAAGCUAGUAAGAUCCCUUGAAGAACACAAGGUUGAUAGGUCGGGGGUGUAAGCAUGGUAACAUGUUCAGCUGACCGAUACUAAUAGAUCGAGGGCUUGACCAA